CUUUUGAAGUUCGCGCUGUGCUGUCACCCUCUCCACUGCCCUCCGUUGCUUUCCUCUCCCAAAUGGGAAAGCAAGAGAAGAGAGGGAAGCGAUUGGGGGGCGCUCGGUGUGUCGGCACGGCCUGUUGGCACGGCCAGACUGGAGUACACGCGCGCGUACGCACUACUGUUCGGUCGUAAGCGAGUUGUAGUGUUAUGAAUGAACCAUACGUCACGAGAUGAGCCGGCACAGAAUGACGUCAGAUGUCGUCACGGGAGGUCUGCAUUGUUUUUCGACAGCGUGUGGUGCGCUGUGUGUCAUCGGUUGUGUCGCUGUAUGAACGCAGCAGUGUUUUACCGCUUGCACUCGUGCGACCCGUAACGCGAGCCAUGACAGUGCAAACGCCUCAACGAUCGUCUUCGUGGUCCGGCAGUUGACGAUCGGUGUUUCAAGCAGGAAUUCGAGUUGAGCAGCGCGACCGGCGACAUCUACUGAAGCGUUGAUCUUCGUCUCCUCGCCAUGCUGUCGUCGGUACUCUGGUGCAUCCUUGCUGUGCAAUCGGCACUGUCACCUGUUUUCUGAUGUGGUGGAGGUGGCAAUGUGGGCUUUUCCAGGUCCACUUCCUGUUGCUGCGUUUCCUGGAGAAGGAACAGUCGGAGAAGCUUCCCAGUCCCGCAGCUCAAGGCCAUCGAACUAGUAAUUCUAAUACCCCCACAAGCAAGAAAAAGUCCAGUUGUUCAAAGAAGCCUCCAGUAUGAGCUAAGAAUUACAGCAUGUACCACCAGCAAUCUUUGGGGAAACAAAUAAUUUUGUGCACACGGCA